UGACCCGGUUCGGUCCGUGAGAUAAUCGCAAACGGUAGUGUCCGAGCACGUAGCUGGUGCCUUAUUAGGAUGACGACAUUUUUUACCAUGAAACAAGACAUCGAAUGGAUCGUUUACCGAGAACGAUUUAAAGCUGCUUUUUCCAACAUUUUUAUAUUGAUACAAAGACAGUUACAUUUGCAAAGGAGUACGGACAUUGAAUGUUUAAUUUUUACGUAGAAAGCGCAGAUCGCAAGAUCGCAAUCUCAUUUUGGCGGGUUUUGAGAAAUUUGGAAAGGUGUCCAACGUGACGCCCAAAAGGGUCAUCAAGUCACCAAAUCAAGUCAUCGCAGCCCAUCCACAUGAGUGCGUUGCCGGCCUUUUGAGAGAGGAGUUUACGGUUUCUUUAAAAAAUUGGAGGUCGUAUCUCCGAGGGAAAACCCCACAGUUCGCUAGUUUGCAAAAGAAAGUCCCUUGUAAAGGGAACAAUGGAACACUUCCAACCAGCCAUCAAGAAUGCUCAUGAAAUAUAAAGUUAUAAGCAAUGAUAAAAAUAAGAUCAAUACUGUGAAUAACACACGAUUUAUGAAUUCUGAAAAUCUUUGUGUGAAACCAUGUUCAUAUCUCUUGACGUUAUAUUUAAAUGUUUUACGAUUUAUAAA